rnacentral:rRNA from 1 species
GACGAACGCUGGCGGCGUGCCUAAUACAUGCAAGUUGAGCGAUGAAGAUUGGUGCUUGCACCAAUUUGAAGAGCAGCGAACGGGUGAGUAACGCGUGGGGAAUCUGCCUUUGAGCGGGGGACAACAUUUGGAAACGAAUGCUAAUACCGCAUAACAACUUUAAACAUAAGUUUUAAGGUUGAAAGAUGCAAUUGCAUCACUCAAAGAUGAUCCCGCGUUGUAUUAGCUAGUUGGUGAGGUAAAGGCUCACCAAGGCGAUGAUACAUAGCCGACCUGAGAGGGUGAGCGGCCACAAUGGGACUGAGACACGGCCCAAACUCCUACAGGAGGCAGCAGUAGGGAAUCUUCGGCAAUGGACGAAAGUCUGACCGAGCAACGCCGCGUGAGUGAAGAAGGUUUUCGGAUCGUAAAACUCUGUUGGUAGAGAAGAACGUUGGUGAGAGUGGAAAGCUCAUCAAGUGACGGUAACUACGCAGAAAGGGACGGCUAACUACGUG